CCCGGGUCGCGGUCGCCGGCGUGUCUGGUCGCGGCGGCCCAGAGCCAGGGCCAUGUGCAGGCGCCGCGCAGCACUGGUGGGGACGCGGCUUGUCCGGAGCGGGAGCAGGUCGGCGGGCCGGCUCCAGGGGGCAGCGGGAGUUUCGGCCUCUGGGAUGGGGAACAGCACAUCGUCAUCUUUGGGGAACACAGCAACUACUCCCAUGAAUCAGAUCCAAGAAAUCAUUUCUAAUAAUUGUGUGGUGAUUUUCUCCAAAACUUCUUGUUCUUACUGUACGAUGGCAAAAACACUUUUUCACGACAUGAGUGUAAACUAUAAAGUGGUGGAAUUGGACAUGCUUGAACACGGAAGCCAGUUACAAGACGCUCUUCACGAAAUGACCGGUGAAAGAACUGUGCCAAGAAUAUUUGUCAAUGGAACUUUUAUUGGCGGUGCAACUGACACUCACAGGCUUCACAAAGAAGGGAAAUUGCUUCCACUAGUUCACCAGUGUUAUCCAAAAAAAACUUUCAGUGGUGAGCGCUGAUGGGUGCCUUCUCUGCAAAAUAAGGCUCUCACUGAUGCAGUUGUGAACUCGAGCAACGGCAGGAUGGACAUGUCCAGCAAAGGUCUCGUUAUCAGUGAAUACUAUGAAGACAUCGGCAGCUGUAUUUGUGUUUUGAGCCCAGAUCAUUGGAAGAGAGCAAUCAGUUCCACCUGCUGGGAUCUAACUCGGAAAAAAAACAUGGAUAAGAAUACAAGAAAAUGCCCUCAUUUCUGUACUGACAUGUCUGAAAUAAUUAAAUACUUAAAAAUACUAUUUUAUAGGUUAUUUUGUUUAGACCCAAUAUAUAGGCUUUCCCAAGGCUUGUAAAUAUAUUUCUGAUUCUGUGUUCAUGAGAAAGUUGAGAUGAAACAAUUUGUUCUCACAAAUUUAUUAAUAUCAGGAAUGACAUCAAUAAAUUUUUAUAUAAUACAUGUUAAAUAAACUUAAUAAAACAGUUUCUUACCUGGCUCAUAGCCAUUAAAACCUGUUGUAAGGUCAUAUCUGUAGUCACUGGACAUGGUACCAUUUCAUCUGAAAAAGCAACUAUAUGAGAAUCUUUUUCUGUUCGUGUGACAACCUGAAAAAUUCAAUGGUAGUAAUUUUCAGUAGAUUUGGGGGAAACAAAUACAGUAUCUUGAAGUUCAUCUUUAAAAGAAAAUACCCUAUGAUGCUUACUUUUAUUUCUAAACUUAUAUUACUGUGUUUGGAAACUAUAUAGUAACAGUGGUAUAACUUUCAAAGUACUUUCACAAACUCUUAUAAGGAAACUGGUUUUCACAACAAUCCUUUGAAGCAAAUAGAGUAUAUAUUAUUCUUCUCGUUUUAUUAAAUAAGGAAUAAACCCACAGAAGAGAAGCCAAGAAGCUCGCCUAUGGUUCAUAUACUUGUUAUUCAGUGACAGAGUCAGGCUAGAACAAGUCUUCUGUUAUUAUUAGUUCCUGAUCUUUUAACGUCUAUAUUCAUUAAUAAUUUCUCUAAGCAUUAUCUAUUUCCUUAAAAAUACUGGUAAUAUUUAAUCUGUUGUUGUAAAAUUAAAAUUUCUACUCUGA